UACAGAGGUCUCAAGCGUUGUUCGGAUUCAUUGGGCGUAAAGGGUGCGUAGGCGGGUCUUUAAGUCAGGGGUGAAAUCCUGGAGCUCAACUCCAGAACUGCCUUUGAUACUGAGGAUCUUGAGUUCGGGAGAGGUGAGUGGAACUGCGAGUGUAGAGGUGAAAUUCGUAGAUAUUCGCAAGAACACCAGUGGCGAAGGCGGCUCACUGGCCCGAUACUGACGCUGAGGCACGAAAGCGUGGGGAGCAAACGGG
rnacentral:rRNA from 1 species